rnacentral:rRNA from 1 species
GACAGAGGAUGCAAGCGUUAUCCGGAAUAAUUGGGCGUAAAGCGUCUGUAGGUGGUUUACCAAGUCUGUUGUUAAAAAUCAGGGCUUAACCCUGAUCCGGCAACAGAAACUAGUAGGCUGGAGUACGGUAGGGGCAGAGGGAAUUCUCGGUGUAGUGGUGAAAUACGUAGAUAUCGAGAAGAACACCAAUAGCGAAAGCACUCUGCUGGGCCGAAACUGACAUUGAGAGACGAAAGCUAGGGGAGCGAAAGGG